AGGUCAUGUACGUCCGAGACUAGAGGUCGCGUGACGCUUGCAUGUAGGACCGAGAAAAAAUAUUUUUCAUGAACGGAUCCGAUCUUAGGGAUCGGUCAUUUAUUAGAGGGGGGGUGGGCUGGUGGAUUUUCAUUUUCCUCAACAUAAUUUCAUAUGGCCCUGCUCCUGUCACUGCAUAAAAUAAUGUGGCCCCCCAAGGGAGUGCACAUGAAAUGGCAUGGCCCACCCUCAGUUACAAUAUCUAUAAUUUUUUUUUCCCGGUACAAUAAAUUUUGACGACCUGCCCCCCCCCCGUCGCCAAAAAAAUUUCGGUCAGUGUACCAUUUUAGGGGUCCAAAAUUUUUUCGGACACACCCAAUUUUUUCGGAACAUUAAAUAAACUUUCCCAAACAUUGCAUAAUUUACAUUAUUUCCCGCAAAAUUCGCAGAAUUUAUCCCAUUUAUUUUUAUAAUAACCCAAUACUGCACGACUGAGAAGAGAAUAUUGCUCAACUAGCUUGGUUUUGCCCCACUUUUGUUUCAUUGUGGUUGAUCCCUUUAGUGCUGUUUUCUUUUGUAGAAUAUAUAGGAAAAUCGGAUGCACAAAAAUGUAUGACCCCCCAAAAAUGGUUGCAGAAUUUUAUGCAACCCCCCAUUUUCAAGUGCACAAAAAGGUAUGACCCCUUCCCAUUUGCACCAGCCUUCCCUCUAAUAAAUGACCGGUCCCUUAACGGUAAAUAGCGCAUUUAUUUUUUGUUCGAUCCUAAAAACGGUUUCCACUGAUGUACUAUUUAAAACGCGUAGAAGAAUUUUAUCAUAUUUAAAAUUCGAGUGUGCAGAGCGUAUGAGAAUUUUAAAUAUGAUAAAAUACGACUACAAGUGUUUUAAAUUACUUAAAACAAGGAGAAAAACUUGCGAAUAAGAUUCCUCAAUCGAGUAUUUUACCGGAUAGUUUUUUCAGUGAUAUACAUGCACCAUACAGUUAAUGGGCUCCCUAGCUUUCAAGAAAUAUCAGAAAUUGAUGUUCAGAAAUUGAUGUUUUGUGUGAGGUAGCAAUAUUGGCUGGUUAGACAAAAUAGUCUGUAAUUUAAUAAGGCUAUAAAUACAUUUUUUCUUGGU